rnacentral:rRNA from 1 species
GACGAACGCUGGCGGCGUGCUUAACACAUGCAAGUCGAACGGUGAAGCGCCUUCCUUUUUGGUGGGUGUGGAUGAGUGGCGAACGGGUGAGUAACACGUGAGUAACCUGCCCCCUUCUUCUGGAUAACCGCAUGAAAGUGUGGCUAAUACGGGAUAUUCUGGGUCUGUCGCAUGAUGGGUCUGGGAAAGAUAUUGUUUCGGUGGGGGAUGGGCUCGCGUCCUAUCAGCUUGUUGGUGGGGUGAUGGCCUACCAAGGCGGUGACGGGUAGCCGGCCUGAGAGGGUGGACGGUCACACUGGGACUGAGACACGGCCCAGACUCCUACGGGAGGCAGCAGUGGGGAAUAUUGCACAAUGGGCGCAAGCCUGAUGCAGCGACGCCGCGUGAGGGAUGGAGGCCUUCGGGUUGUGAACCUCUUUCGCCAGUGAAGCAGGCCUGCCUCGUUUGUGGGUGGGUUGACGGUAGCUGGAUAAGAAGCGCCGGCUAACUACGUG